AAAUGAUUUCGGGAACCUUAUAUGACCCUUGGGCUCUAUGUUCCCCACCCCUGCUCCAGACCAACAAACAAACUUUCAAAGGAAUUUUUUAACCCUCAAAAAUUGGUUGUUAUUGAAUGAAUGAGUGUAUUGGGGACAGCGGGGGAGAAAGAUGAUGCAAAAUUAAGUCCUAAAAUGUGUGGGGACACUGUGACGGAUUUAGCAGUUGAGAGAACAAAAUAAAACAUUUGGGAGGCCUCCUUGGAAAAAGUUGGACUUACCUGACUUUGAAGAAUAGGACACAUUGACCUGAAUGUGUUUUCUCCAUUGAAGAAAUGAAUCUGUGUCUUUUGUUGGCUUCUUGAAAAAUAAACAUUGCUUUGGAUGAACUGAA